GCGCCGGUGGUGUAAGGCGCACAUCGCUGCCCGGAAAGCAGAAGAUGCGGGUUCGAGUCCCGCCUGGCGCG
rnacentral:tRNA from 1 species